rnacentral:rRNA from 1 species
UACGUAGGGGGCUAGCGUUGUCCGGAAUCAUUGGGCGUAAAGAGCGUGUAGGCGGCCCGGUAAGUCCGCUGUGAAAGUCGGGGGCUCAACCCUCGAAUGCCGGUGGAUACUGUCGGGCUAGAGUGCGGAAGAGGCGAGUGGAAUUCCUGGUGUAGCGGUGAAAUGCGCAGAUAUCAGGUGGAACACCGAUGGCGAAGGCAGUGUUCUGGGCCAGUACUGACGCUGAGGAGCGAAAGCGUGGGGAGCAAACAGG